rnacentral:lncRNA from 1 species
UUGAAAUCUUGAGAGGAUUGAACUUUUGGCCUAUGACCAUAUAUUUUCCAGUGGAAAUGUACAUUGUGCAAGGAAAAAUUGGAGCUUGGACAAAAAACUGAAUACAUCUUGAAGGUUUCAGUCUGCUUGAUUGAGCAUUUCUGAAAAUAUUAAUAGUUAUUCUGAAAAGAGUCAUAAGGUACAUGGUGAUUUCUUUUCACGUUUUGCUUUGAUCAGAUGUUCUCUCCAAUUAUUUCUUUCCAUCGUUUGCUUACUACAUUGUUUUCUUUAGGAUUUCUCUGUUACUCCAUGUAUCCAUCCAUGUCCUGCUGGUAAUUGGUAAAGUGGACUCAGUUAAUUUAGAAUUUGAACUUGAAGUCGAUUUUUGCCUACUAGGUAUUCUCAAACAUUCAGCUACGCAGGAAAGGCUAUCUAACCACCAGGUUUGGUUUGAAUAGAGAUUCAAAUGUUGUCUUUUCCUAGGUUCUACUUCUAACUUUCCUUUACAUGUUCUAAAUUGUUGGAAAUCAUCAACUUGAUGUUUGUGCUGCAUUCCCCUACUUUUAUUAGAGCGAACAAAUUCCUGCUUAUUUUACAAAAGUCAUUCCAAGUACAUGCAUUACUUCUAUUGAUCCACCAUGUUCAUCCACUAACUUCUCAAAGUUGCAGAGAUAUUUUUAGAUUAUGACAUUUCCUCUAAAAUGUUGAUUAGGAAUCUGUAAAGCUUGCUUAAUGUUGGAUAAUAGAAAAGAUAUGACUUUCCCUAUCUUGAUAUAGAAGUUUACUGUAAGCAGUGAUGUGAAAAUAUUGAUAAAUUUCCAUGUGAAUGAACAGACAAAGAAAAGAUCAUUAAAGUACUAUCUAUGUAGAAGAUCUCAUUUAGAAUUAUAUGUCGGAAUUCUUUCUGUUAUCCUUGACAUUGACAAACAAAUCAUGUUCUUCACAUUUUCCUUAUUCAAUUAUGUAUAUUCAUCAGUUUUUACUUGUCAGAGUAUCUUCUUCUUCAUUUUUAGCCGCUACACCAAAACAAAUUAAAGAAACUAUGAAGUUGGGUGGCUUCAUCCAUGAUGAAGUGAAAACCAUUGACAAUUGCUCUUUUUGUGUAUAUACAUUAGUAUUCUUUAUCAAUUCUCCUAUAGCAUUCACGUUUUUUUAUUUACAUGGCGCUUGAUUCUAGAUAUAUUACUGAAAUGCUUCUUAAAUUGCAGAUAAGCAUAUUUCAUAUUUGGUGUCUUCCAAUCCUAAGCUGUCCAAAAAUCAUUGUUUAUGUAGGAGUACAAUGUAUAAUUAAAUAUACAUACUUUCUAAGGACGUUUGCUAUUUGCCCAUGAUAGAACAAACUAUAUUUUGUUGCAAUGCAGUUGUAACUUACAACCACCUGAUCAUGUGAUUAAUUUGGAAGUUUUGACUGAUAGACUAUGGUGCUCAAACUCUGUUAAAAUGUCAUCGGGUUUGUGUUGGAUCCUUCAAAAGUAGUGUAUUUUUGUUGGAUCUAAUAGGUGCAACAACACUUUUGAAGUACUACUGUUGAAGUUAUUUAGGCUAAUAGGUUUUUUUUGUUUCAGGUUUGAAUGAUGGAUGAUAAACACAAGUGAUAAAUCUAUUGUGAAGGGUGGAUUCAUUUUUCUUGGGGAAAAUGUAGACAAACACAUUAUUUGUGCUCUUUUUUUUGUGAAUUUCAAAGUUAAUUUUCAAUUAGAUGUAUACAAAUGGUGGUGAUGGAGCUACUGGUUCUUACCUAUGAAGUAUGCUCAUGUAGCUAUGGUUGCAAUGAAUUUUAUGGGAAGAGUUAGGCACCUGUAACGUAUUUUGAAGAUUGUUGCCAUAUUUUAAAAAGAAUGCUUAUGCUUCUAUGUUGUUUCAGUGUGAUUUUAGA